GAACUAUAUACUUGCGUGUUCAUGACAUUGUUUCCUCUACGGAAGAAGAUAGAUAGCGUCUAAAAUAUGGCAUACAGCACCGGAAUUAUUCUUGUCAUUCUCUGUUUCUCCUCGUUUACUGCUCAUGCUUCGUGGACUAAAAUAUCCGGAUACAAAUUCAUCAGCGGAAUCAGCGUGGGCUCAGAAACCACUUACCACAGCGAUAUAGCUGGUGCGAGGCCUCUCUGCCAACAGAGAUGCGACCAAUUCGCUUCCUGUAACGCGUUCCGUCUGUACAGCUUUGUGGGUACAGUGUUCUGUACUCUUUUUGAAACUAUCAGUGAUUAUUCAUGCCCGACUGAUAGUACUGAUUGGAACUGCAUGUUUGCUGACGGGGAGUCAUGGAAGAAAAGCGACUUGAGGAGAUAGAAGACAAACGACAAGUGGCUUUCCUCACACACAUUUAGCGGCUCCCAUUAUACAGAAACAUUAAAACUCGUUUCUCAUAUUGUUUCUUUGAACUCAACUUUGCCCGUCUUUAUUUACAGUUCUUACUAGAAAAGUCCAUCAACAUUUGUCCAAUGAAAUCGAGGUGCAAAAAGUGCUGAUAGUUAUUACCGAUCCAAGAAACAGUGAGGUCGAGAUUCCGCCAUUUUUUUCCAAAAAUGAUACUUACUUGUCAACUUUCCACUCAAAAUAACAAUCAAAAACAGGAGAAAUAAAGUUCUCUUUCGCGGCUAACCUUACU